UACGAAGGGUGCAAGCGUUACUCGGAAUUACUGGGCGUAAAGCGUGCGUAGGUGGUGAGUUAAGUCUGUCGUGAAAGCCCCGGGCUCAACCUGGGAAUGGCGAUGGAUACUGGCUCGCUAGAGUGCGGUAGAGGAGAGUGGAAUUCCCGGUGUAGCAGUGAAAUGCGUAGAUAUCGGGAGGAACACCUGUGGCGAAAGCGGCUCUCUGGACCACAACUGACGCUGAGGCGCGAAAGCUAGGGGAGCAAACGGG
rnacentral:rRNA from 1 species